UGGUCGAUACCGCCAGAGUAACUUCCACUACCAUAGUACGGCACGACAGGCUGCGCACUGGACUGACCCUCAACCCUGGUUUUCUUCUUCCUACAAUCGUCAGUCCCUUGACUAAACCCUCGUAGCGUCAUCUCCAUCUGCCUCGCCAUGUCAGUAACUUCUAGGAAACUGCUCCUCCUAGAUUGAACCAAGGAAACAAACUCUGGGCCGAGCCCUAAAAUGUAUUUG
rnacentral:lncRNA from 1 species